rnacentral:rRNA from 1 species
AUACGGAGGGUGCGAGCGUUAAUCGGAAUUACUGGGCGUAAAGGGUCCGUAGGCGGUCUGCUUAGUCCGAUGUGAAAGCCCCGGGCUUAACCUGGGAAUGGCAUUGGAUACUGGCGGACUAGAGUCUGGUAGAGGGUGGUGGAAUUCCCGGUGUAGCGGUGAAAUGCGUAGAUAGCGGGAGGAACACCAGUGGCGAAGGCGGCCACCUGGACCAAGACUGACGCUGAGGGACGAAAGCGUGGGGAGCAAACAGGAUUAGAAACCCUAGUAGUCC